CUUUGUUUUUCUUCCUGAUUUAUAGCAUCCGCAGUUCUUCUGGUUUUUAUCUAGCAACUACAGUUUAAUUUGCUUUUACACUGACUACUCCUACUUGUAUUAUUUCAAAAACAAGCCGCACACUAGCAAAAAUUUAAAUCGUCUUUUCUCUAGUUUCAGAUACAAACUGACCUGUUGUACUUUCUGCCCACACUGUUCAAUCUACAGAUGACCGUAAUAAUCUGUGGCGGUCGCAACCAGAUAAGGCACGGCGUGUUCAGUCGUUUCCAUGAAAAAUUAAAUGCAAGUUAGCGCGGCAGUAGAAAGUGUCAGCAUAAACUAUCGAUGAAAUGAGACCCGUUGCUUCUCACGUUUCAAGCAGUGGAUUACAGAAACAACUCCAAUACUGUCUGUAACAACGAACAAACACAGUAUACGCUGCCCUAAACAAGGUGCACGAUAAUACCAAAAAGGCGGCAGGUGACGAUUUCUCGUGACCCGGAAGCGUUGUGUACCGUCGCUCGAGCCCGUAUUCGAAUGAUCGACGGUUAGGAUUGCCUGUUGAUACUGCGAGCGAACGGGAGUUGGAGCAGGACUGCUGCGGUAGCGAUGAGCUGCAACCAACAUAAGUUACAGUCUACAGGGAGGGCAGAAAACGGAGGUAGUAAUACACAAGAUGACCCUUUCACCCCAGAUCAAGUUACCAAACUCUUAAAUGAUAACGGGAGAGUAACAUUCCUGUUGAAAGAGUUGAAUGCAGUGGCAGAAACUAAUAAAAAGCUUCAGGAUAAACUGUCAGAAAAAGAGCACGAAUUAGAAAUUCUAAAGAUUGACACUGAAUUACAAGAAAAAACAAUAGAAGCCAAAAUAGCUGAAAAGGCUACAGUUCUGAUUGAAGAAAUCUAUCAUGCACAAAAGGAACGGGAUGCAGCUGUUAUGGCUCGACUUAGACUUGCCAAUGAAGAAAGAGAUGAAGCCCUUAUCCGAGCUAAAUGGCUAGAACAGGCAUUUGAAGGGUUGGAAAAUAUUAACCCUGAAGAAAAUGACAUGACAUUACAGGAAUUACUGAACCGAAUCAACAAUGCAAAUACGAGGAGAUCUAUUGACAAGAAUGAAGAUUUAAUUGUGGAUCGAAUACACAAAGCCAGAGAGCGAAAGAAGAAAAUCACUGCUGAAGAAAUUAAUGCAGUUAUUGAGGAGAGAGAUUAUGCUUUGGGAAGAUGCAAACAGUUGGAGCAGGAACUUCAUCUUUUGAAAGAGCAGAAUGAGGCAUUGGCAAAUAAUACGACACAACUGACGACUGAAAACAACCAAGAACGUGCCUUGGAGGCUGAAUUACUUACAGCACAAAAAGAAAGAGACAAAGCUUUAGAGCGAUGUAAGGAACAAGAGGAAGAAAUUCAGACACUGAGACUUUAUUACAGCUUACACAAAUCAUUAUCUCAAGAGGUUAGUGUCACCGACAAGUUCAACACCGCGCUAGGCACUUAUGAUGAUGCUUUAUGCACUAGCAAGGGCAUGAUGUCAGCCACGCACCACCAAAAUGAAGAUCUAGCAAACCAGUUACAACUGGCUAUAGCAGAACAGGCAAACAUGAAGAUUAAACUGCAGCAAGCCUUGGAAGCCAAAAUCCAACUGAGUGAAAAAGUUCAGAAUACGCACUAAAUUUGGUGCCUGCAAAUCGAUGGAGGGAGUGUUCUGGCCUUCAAAUCUGAGCAGAUGACCUCAGAGGCGUUUGUGACUGGACGGUCCAGAAUUCUGUGCCUGUCCUGCCCUAUUGUUGGAACGGCUGGUAGACGUCCUGAGGAAAAAGGUUGGAGCAGGCAACAUCAGGACGGUGACUUGAUUGAGUAGCAGUGUCUGACGAUGUAGUCACAUCUGGUGACCAGGCCAUUCUAUUCAUCUUUCUACAAAUAAAAAAGCCUGGUUUUAGCAAACAAUUGUUGUAACCGCCACACUGAAAUAACAUUCCAAAAACAUCCUAAUCUAAUUUUUUUGGAACCUGGAAACUUGGUCUUAUUACAUGUUGACUAAAUUUGUAGACAUGCAGAAAACAUUCUAAAAUGCACCAAUUUUUAACUAGGAAUUUCUGAGAUUUAUACCAAUGCAUAAAAAAUAUGGAACUAUUUGUAUUUCUUAAGAUAAUUUAAGUUUUUACUAACUUACCUCCCUUAUAUUCAAUUUAAAUUCAUAGCAUUUUUCACUUGCCAGUUAGAAAAAUUCUCACCUAUCGGACAAAAACAAAGUUGUAUUUUUGAUUUUUAAGUGUAAUUGUAGUGUGAUGUUGUUCAAUGCCUGGAAUAUUUUACCAUGAUGUGCAUUGAUACUUGUUUUAGUUUCAUAUUUAACCUUUUGGUGUUUAUUACAGUCUAUCAGUGGCAUAUUUUAAAUUUGUUCAGAAUUCAUGCCUUAAUCACUGGAGUGAGAUUAAAAAUUGUGUAAAUGUACUAAUGUUGAGAACAUUUUUGACUUUUGUGGUGUUUGGGGAAUGAAGGUGAAUUGUGGGCUUUUCAACACAGUUCAGUCUUCUGUGUCUAUUUUAAAUGACGUUAUAAAUAUUGAGGAAUGAAAGAUAUCCAAAAUUAAAGAAUAAAUUGACAAGUGUAAAGUUGUAUGGUGAAAUAUAUGGUGAAUGUAUUUGAAAGUGAUGUGAUAAUUCUAUAAAAGGCACACCAGAAAAUGUGAGCACUUGAUAUCAGUUCAGACACAAAGCUAGGGUUGACAAUUGGUGCUUUUGUAGCAAUAUCAAAAUGUGUUAAUGUUUAAUUUGUGCCAAACAACAGAUUAACAUGCAUGAAAAAAAUCUCCUAUCCCUAAAUGAGAUUAUUUUAAUACUUACAAAGUACACUAAAACGUUGAUUGCAGUUCUGACAGCUAAAAUAGAAGUAUAAGGAAGGUGUGCUAGCAUAUUCAGACGCAUACAAUGUAUUCAAAUUUGUAUUUGUACCACCUAUAAAUCGGCCUGCACUCUAUGUAUUCUAAUUAUGUGAAGACACGAACUUUUUAA